AUGUUCCAUUUAGUUCUUCAACGGUUAUUAUAAUUUCCUUUCACACUAGCCCCUUGCACAAAACAAAACAAGAAAAAUUCAACUCUAGAUUGCGAGUCAUAUGUAGUUUUCCGGCAAGGAACAGUUCAGUAGCCGGCACUAACCACGCGUGUUUUAAAGUAAUUUUCACAAUCUUCAUCUGAAAUCUAUAUACCUCCGCUCUUAAUUAAAAUCAGCAGGGCCCAGAAAGCCUGAUGCACAAUUGAAGUAUAAAACAACUUUCAAUCGAGGAUGGUUGUUUCGGGCCAGUGCAAGACUGAGGAAGUGCCAUCUAACUCUCGGAGAAACAUUUUGAAUAUUCAAAGUGAAAGUCCAAGAAUAAUUCGAGUCGCUGUCGGAUGUUCUUGAAGAGCAGGAAGUGAAGGCUCAAUCUAGGUGUGCAAUGUGAAGGCGUGAAAAACUUGUUUUAUUGUCUG
rnacentral:lncRNA from 1 species